CGGGCUUACCUCCCCUGGCAGCGCCCACCGGCGCCUGCCUUCCUUUAACUUCCCCGCCUCCGUUACCGUCUCCCCUUUGCCCACCUCCCCCACCCGCUGUGCUCAUCGAUAGGAACGAGCCCGUGUCGAUUUGAUUCGGCUUCGCUUAGUUUUGUUCGAUUUGAUUUAUUGUAACCCGGUAGGAAGGGGAAAAGGAGGGAUCUUUGAUUCGUUGGUGGCUGUUCGUUCGGAUGGUUGGAGGCGGUGCUCGGAUUUGAGAGCUCCGAAUUUCUUGGACGUCCCGUAGGUAAAAAGAUUUUUUUUCUUCUCGGCCGGCGGAUGGACGCGAGGGAGGUGUGAAGCCUGGUCGCUAACUCAUGCUAGUGGAGAGAUUCGGGGGAGAGGAGCGCGCGGUGAGGAGGCGGUGGAGGCGGAAGCGCCGACGAAUUGAUCAGUGCAGCGACGAAAGGGGCUUAGCCGGCGGGCGAGGAGAGCAACGCCAGGUGGACGACGGCCGCCGCCAUGGGCGAGUCGCUGCUCACAGCGCUCUCCAUGGACACCGCCACGGCCCACCACCCGCACCAGGGCCCCUCCACCUUCCUCUCCAUGGACACCGCCUCCCACGACGACUUCGACCCCUUCUUCCCGCCUCUAGGGCCCUUCCGCCGCUGCCUCCAUACAGCGGCAGCCGCCCCCCCUGACAUCAACCUCCCCCUUGCCGCUGACGCCUCUCCGCCACCUCCGGCGCUGCAGCCCACCGCGCUGCACGACUCCAACGUCGACAUGCUAGAUGUCGGCCUCGGCUGCCCGCAGCUCUACGACUCUGAUUCGCCCGCCGCCCCCGGGGCUACCUCGUCCCCGGCAGCUGCCGCGACUACCAUGGUCGCCGUGUCGCACACCAGGGGCUCCAGUUCCAGCGCCGCACGCAAGUGCGUCAAGCGUAACGAUAGCAUCUGGGGCGCCUGGUUCUUCUUCACCCACUACUUCAAGCCGGUCGUGUCGGCCGACACUGGUGACAAGGCAAAGGCAGCCACCGCUGGUGGGACUGGUAAUAGCGCCACACUGGACGCUUUCCUGGUGCAGCACGACAUGGAGAACAUGUACAUGUGGGUGUUUAAGGAGCGGCCGGAGAAUGCCCUGGGGAAGAUGCAACUGAGGAGCUUCAUGAAUGGGCACUCACGCCUUGGCGAGCCACAGUUCCCUUUCAGCGCGGAGAAAGGGUUUGUGCGCUCGCACCGGAUGCAGCGUAAGCACUAUCGUGGGCUCUCAAACCCGCAGUGCCUGCAUGGGAUUGAGAUUGUGAGGGCGCCAAACUUGGCAGGCGUACGUGAUGCUGAUUUGAAGAGGUGGGUGGAGCUCACUGGGAGGGAUGUCAGUUUCUCGAUCCCAACCGAAGCAAGUGACUUUGAGUCAUGGAGGAAUUUGUUGAGCACAGACUUUGAGCUCGAGAGGCCAGCAAGCGCCGCUCCAGCAAAGAGCAGUUCACAUGGGCACCACAAGAAGUUGCUGAAUGGUUCUGGCCUUAACCUCUCGACACAGCCAUCCAAUCAUGGUUCUGGGGAUGGUCUGGACAUCUCAGCCAUUUGCAACAAGCGUAGAAAGGAUUCCUCGCCUGCUGCCAUCGAAGAGGAUUGCAGCAAUUCAAAUUCAGACAAGGUCCAGGACAUGGAUGUGAGCCACGCAUUUGAACCAUCAUGGAUGAAUGACUUCUGUGGUGUGAUGCGCCAUGCUUCUGGGCCAGUAACUGCUGCAAAAACAAUAUAUGAGGAUAGCAAGGGCUACUUGAUCAUCAUUAGCCUUCCUUUCGCUGAUAUACAAAGGGUGAAGGUUUCGUGGAAGAAUACUCUUAAAAAUGGGAUAGUUAAGGUAUCAUGCACUAGCAUCGGUCGGAUGCCAUUCGUGAAAAGACAUGAUCGGACCUUCAAGUUGGUGGAUCCUGCCCCCGAGCAUUGCCCACCCGGAGUGUUUAUCCGGGAAAUCCAACUGCCUACCCGGAUCCCUGAAGAUGCUACUUUGGAAGCAUACCGUGAUGAAACAGGAACAUGUCUAGAGAUUAUUGUCCCUAAAUUCCGUGUUGGUCCUGAAGAACAUGAAGUGCAUGUGUCCAUGAGGCCACCCUCGUCGUGGUGCCAAUGAAAACAUGUUCAAGUUUGCGAGAAGACAUGUCGUGCGAAGGUUCCCUGUUGUUAUCAUAAAGCACAGUACAACAAAUGCAGCUCAGUUUUGCUAAUUGUGACGGGAAACAGCCCUGAUUGAUUGAAGCAUUGUGGUAGUUGGCAAUUGCAGCAUUUGGAACAUUUUUGGAAUAUGCUACAGGUGUUUGGUUCAACCGUCGGGACGCCUAGGGUCACCGCUGGGAACGCAAAGGGUACAGGAUGGGGAAGGGAGGAUGGAUAAGAGAACUAACUGAAGGCCCCACCGUUGCAAGUCCGCCAUCUUGGUUGCUCGUUGUUGAGAUGAGGAGUGAUCCUAAGCUCGCCGGCAUUUGGAGCACAUAGCGGUGACAUGGUUCUAAUGUGAAUUGAGCGCCGGCGAUGCGGAUCCAACCUCCAUGGCACGGUAGCGCUACAAAUCCGGCGAAAAGGGGGGCAUCGACGUAGCAGAUAUGGCAGGAAAGUCACGGUGGCGACGUGGAUCCGGUGAGGUGGAAGCGACAACGGCUUGGAUCCGACAAGAAGGGAGCGAUGGCAGCACAUAUCCGAGGGGGUGGGGGCGGGGAGCGACGACUGUGUCCUCGCUGGCCGCCGACAAUUGAUCCAGUGGAGAGAGAGAUGACCAGACGACUGUUGAUUUAGGGAAAAGUUGGACAAGUGAGAAUAGUGUUCGUCGGGGUGUGGAUGACGGUAUGUUGGGAGUUCGGUAGUUCUUUUUAUUUUUUAUUUUUUCGAUUGUUUGGUAGAUUUCUUUUUUGGCUCACUUUUUUUCUUGCCCAACUCGAAUUUUGGCAUUGCGUCGUAAUAUCUCAGGUUUGAUUGAACUGUUAUUUCUACCAUAACUAUUAACAACACACAA